rnacentral:rRNA from 1 species
AGUGAACGCUGGCGGCGUGCCUAAUACAUGCAAGUCGAACGGAGUGGCGCAAGGGUGAGUAAUAUAUAGCUAAUCUGCUCCUUGCUGGAGGACAACAGUUAGAAAUGACUGCUAAUACUCCAUAGCAAGGGAUGAGACUAUAUCGUAUCAGCUAGUCGGUGGGGUAACGGCCUACCGAGGCUAUGACGCGUAACUGAUCUGAGAGGAUGAUCAGUCAAAUUGGAACUGAGACACGGGCCAAACUCCUACGGGAGGCAGCAGGAGGGAAUAAUGCGCAAUGGGGGAAAACCUGACGCAGCAACGCCGCGUGGAGGAUGACACUUUGCGGAGCGUAAACGCCUUUUGUUAGGGAAGACGUGUGUGAGAGUGGAAAGUUCACACAGUGACGGUACUUAACCAGAAAGGGACGGCUAACUACGUGCCAGCAGCCGCGGUAAUUC